rnacentral:rRNA from 1 species
AGCGAACGCUGGCGGCAGGCUUAACACAUGCAAGUCGAACGGGCUUCUUCGGAAGUCAGUGGCAGACGGGUGAGUAACCCGUGGGAACGCGCCCUUCUGUUCGGAAUAACUCAGGGAAACUUGAGCUAAUACCGGAUACGCCCUUAUGGGGGAAGGUUUACUGCCGAAGGAUCGGCCCGCGUCUGAUUAGCUUGUUGGUUGGGUAACGGCCUUCCAAGGCGACGAUCAGUAGCUGGUCUGAGAGGCUGAUCAGCCACGAUGGGGCUGAGACACGGCCCAGACUCGUAGGGGAGGGAGCAGUGGGGAAUAUUAGACAAGGGGCGCAAGCGUGAUCCAGCCGUGCCGCGUGAGUGAGGAAGGCCGUAGGGUUGUAAAGCUCUUUUGGCCGGGACGAUAGUGACGGUACCGGAAGAAUAAGCACCGGCUAACUUCGUG